rnacentral:rRNA from 1 species
AUUGAACGCUGGCGGCAGGCCUAACACAUGCAAGUCGAGCGGAUGAAGGGAGCUUGCUCCUGGAUUCAGCGGCGGACGGGUGAGUAAUGCCUAGGAAUCUGCCUGGUAGUGGGGGAUAACGUCCGGAAACGGGCGCUAAUACCGCAUACGUCCUGAGGGAGAAAGUGGGGGAUCUUCGGACCUCACGCUAUCAGAUGAGCCUAGGUCGGAUUAGCUAGUUGGUGGGGUAAAGGCCUACCAAGGCGACGAUCCGUAACUGGUCUGAGAGGAUGAUCAGUCACACGGGAAGGGAGACCGGGUCGAGCCCCCUAGGGGAGCGAGCGGGGGGAAAUUUGGGAAAGGGGGGGAAAGCCGAACAACGCCAUGCGGCGGGUGGAAGAAAGGUCUUGGAUUUGUAAAGCAUUUAAAGUUGGGAGAAAGGGAAGUAAGUUAAUACCUUGUUGUUUCGAGUUUACAAAAAAAAAAGGCCCCGGCAAACUUCGUG